rnacentral:snRNA from 1 species
GAAUCGCUGAGGGUGGUCUGAUUGUGAUAUCUGUCACCCCAUUGAUUGCCAGGGUUGAUUUGGCUGAUCUGGCUGGCUAGGUGGGGGUCCCCUUCCCCCUCACAGCUCCAAAUGCAUCCCUCCCCAAGCUGCGUGCUCGGUCGUAGAGGACGACCAGCCCCAAUAGAGGUCCAUUCUCUGAUUAAAGGAAAGGUGACUUUUGCAGACAUCUUCUGGCCAUUCCUGGGCUACCUCCACCCGAACAACCCUGAGUCUACACCUUUCUCAUUCACAUGAUAGAGAAAAUGGCUCUUUAAUUAUGU